CCUACGGGUGGCAGCAGUGAGGAAUAUUGGUCAAUGGACGAGAGUCUGAACCAGCCAAGUAGCGUGUAGGAUGACUGCCCUAUGGGUUGUAAACUUCUUUUAUAAAGGAAUAAAACGAGGCACGUGUGCCUUUUUGCAUGUACUUUAUGAAUAAGGAUCGGCUAACUCCGGGCCAGCAGCCGCGGUAAUACGGAGGAUCCGAGCGUUAUCCGGAUUUAUUGGGUUUAAAGGGAGCGUAGAUGGGUUGUUAAGUCAGUUGUGAAAGUUUGCGGCUCAACCGUAAAAUUGCAAUUGAUACUGGCAGUCGUGAGUACAGUUGAGGUAGGCGGAAUUCGUGGGGUAGCGGUGAAAUGCUUAGAUAUCACGAAGAACCCCGAUUGCAAAGGCAGCUUACUAAACUGUGACUGACAUUGAUGCUCGAAAGUGUGGGUAUCAAACAGGAUUAGAUACCCGUGUAGUC
rnacentral:rRNA from 1 species